rnacentral:rRNA from 1 species
UACAGAGGUCCCGAGCGUUGUUCGGAUUCAUUGGGCGUAAAGGGUGCGUAGGCGGUCUGCUAAGUUUGAUGUGAAAUCCCGGGGCUCAACCCUGGAAUGGCAUUGAGUACUGGCGGACUAGAGUACCGGAGAGGAAACUGGAAUUUACGGUGUAGCAGUGAAAUGCGUAGAGAUCGUAAGGAAGACCAGUGGCGAAGGCGAGUUUCUGGACGGUAACUGACGCUGAGGCACGAAGGCCAGGGGAGCAAACGGG